GAUGAACGCUGGCGGCGUGCCUAAUACAUGCAAGUCGAGCGAACAGACGAGGAGCUUGCUCCUCUGACGUUAGCGGCGGACGGGUGAGUAACACGUGGAUAACCUACCUAUAAGACUGGGAUAACUUCGGGAAACCGGAGCUAAUACCGGAUAAUAUAUUGAACCGCAUGGUUCAAUAGUGAAAGACGGUUUUGCUGUCACUUAUAGAUGGAUCCGCGCCGCAUUAGCUAGUUGGUAAGGUAACGGCUUACCAAGGCAACGAUGCGUAGCCGACCUGAGAGGGUGGUCGCCCACACUGGAACUGAGACACGGUCCAGACUCCUACGGGAGGCAGCAGUAGGGAAUCUUCCGCAGUGGGCGAAAGCCUGACGGAGCAACGCCGCGUGAGUGAUGAAGGUCUUCGGAUCGUAAAACUCUGUUAUUAGGGAAGAACAAAUGUGUAAGUAACUAUGCACGUCUUGACGGUACCUAAUCAGAAAGCCACGGCUAACUACGUG
rnacentral:rRNA from 1 species